UGUACUUUGAAAGGUGUUCAUGAAGGAGAGCUUAGAGAUAACCUUUCCAGAACCCAUGUUGUCAUCACUGAGUUAUUCAACAUUUAUCCCAUUUAAAAUGCAGGAAUUGAAUUAUUGGUUUAAAAGUUAGGAGCUUUUUCUGUUUAAGGUAUUUAAUUUAAUAAUUUCGGUUUGAUUCUUCAGAGCAAUAAGUUUGGAAACUACAUUUCUUCUGCUUGAGCAAUAUUUUGAAUUUUUCUCCGAACUUCAUACCAUAGGAUUUAUUAAAUUAAGAAUAUAUCUUCUUUUAAUUGAGAACCAGCGCCGUUCCGAAAUAAUAUUUUCUAUUUUCAUAUGAAUGUUACAGUUAUCUUUUUACUUUAAUUUAAUUUAGAUUGAUGGAAAAAUCUCAGUUUCUUUAUUUUGUUUCAUAAAAUUGAUUUGUAAGAAAACUUUUCAUAAUUUGGUUAUCCAGAGGAAGUCAGAAGUAUUCUACUUGUGUAAAUAAGUAUCAUAUUUAUACCUGUGGCGUAAUUUUUUAAGAUAAUUAUGUUGACCGAUAAUGAAUCGCUGGAGGAUGUGAAAAAAGAAGCUUUCGAAAUCUGCCGAAGCUUUUUGCUAGGGCCAUGGAAGACAUUAAAGAUGGAAAACUUUAGGUUUUCUGCUGUAAGAUGGCUUGACGACAUUGAAGGAGAACUCCUGAAAAGAAACGAAUCAUUUUCGAAAAGACAGUGGUACGAAGAGGAAUUUGAAUGGCUAAAAAAAGAAAUGGAGAAAAUAAAUUCACCUAUCGUAUACUGCCAUAAUGACCUCCAUGGAGGAAAUAUUUUACUUCGAGAAAAUGCAUUAAAAAUUAGCGAACCUGACAUCAUAUUAAUCGAUUUCGAAUUCGGUGGAUACAAUUACAGACUCGAAUACCAUGCAGGAUUCUCAACCAAUGAGGAAUAGAUGUCGUGUCAUUUGAGCCGAGAAUGAGUCUUCUGUGUUUCACCCAGUUCCUGGAACAAAAAUAUAUAUUUUUAUAUAUCAAAAGAAAGAAUGACGACGUAUAAAAAAUAAGCAUUUCGAAAAUUGGUUAUUUGUGUUAGGUUGGAAGUUGCCCUGGAGUCAGACUUAAAUAACAAACGCGUGUUUUGUUUUGAUUUAUUCGCUUCACUUCGUGUCAGACAUGGAGGCAUUCAGUUGAAAAACAACACCUAGCUUUCAUUCAUUGACAGAGCAAAAUCGUAAUGCAAGAUUAAUUCUUCCAUUAAAAAAUGAUUCACUCAAAACCAAUUGUAUUUUUUGAAAUAAUCCAAACAGAAAAGCAGAACAUCUAUGAACCCAAAAACACUUUCGUUGAACAUGGACCUAAAUUUAAAAAUCAUGAAGAAGCUACUAUUUUUCUAAAACAAAGAACAGAAAGGCAGCUAGAUAAGUGUCAGAUACAGAAAACAUUCGGAGAAAAUGCUAUUUCAGUUUCUAAGUUUGACUCUUUAACUACGAGAACAGGGCCAGAAAGUUUUGUUGGCUGCCUUAAGGAAUCUGCUGCAAAUUCUGAAGUAGAAGUGAAGGAGCAGCAGGAUCUAUAUCAGCCAUAUAAAGCUUUUAGUAAGGAACAUAGUUUUCUUGAGUUAGCAUCUAUAUCAAAUUUAAUAUCUAAAGAAGAGAAUAUUAAAGAAACGAAACGUCUUGUAGCUUUUCCGACACGUAGGAUGGAAUGGCAGCUAGAUACGUAUCAGUUACAGAAAUCAUACGGAGAAAAUGUUGUUUCGUAUUUUAACUUAGAUCCUUCAACUAAGAAUCCAGGAUCAGAGAGUUUCCUUGGCUGCUGUAAGAAAUCUUUUGAAAAUUCUGAAAUGAAAGAACAACUAAAUAAAUGUCAUCCAGCUGAUGCUUUGAGUGGAAAAGCUAGUUUUGAUACUGAGUUAUCACCUAUAUCAAAUACAAUACCUAUGAAAGAAGAUAUUGAAGGUACAAAAUCUCUUCUGAAUAUUCGACCUAAUUAUGCUCAGAGUGGAAUCAAAGGGAACCAUACAGUUUCAAAGAAACGAUCUGCCAGGGGUAUUCGCAAGGUCUACAAGUGCUGCUUCUGCUAUUAUGCCACCACUAGAAGCGAUAGAUUGGCAAGACAUAAGGUAUUCAUUCACUCAAAAGCAUCCUGUUAUGAAUGUUAUAUCUGCAAAUUCAAAUCCACCUACAACCAUGAGUACUAUUUACAUAUGAAGCAGCACUUUGGAAAUUCUCCUUACAUGUGCCCGUUGUGCAAUUAUACUACCAGGAUCAUAUCAGCAUUUGUAACUCAUAGAAUCACUCACACAAACCAUCAUAUUUUCCAGUGUCAUCAGUGUGCUUACAAGUGCAAAAGAAAACACCAUUUGACUCAGCACGCCAGUGCACAUACUAGGGAAGCGCCGUUUCAGUGUACGUAUUGCGAAAAAAGAUAUAAACAUAACUGCAGUUUAAAAAAACACUUGCUGUCACACAUGAGGAAAACAUAAAUCUUUUGCCAUCAUGCAUAGAAUUUAUGAACAUAUAAGAACAGAACUUAAGACCCAAUAAUCAUUAUGCAAAGUAUAUAACAGAUUUUGUAUAAGAUACAAAAAGGAGGUGAAAUAAAACUGAUGAUUAACUGCAUGCAUCUUAUGGCAAGUGUAUGCAUCUAACAAUAUUGUUUCAAUAAAAUCAGAGUAACAAAAGAAAAUGCUUUAACUGAUACGUAAUUCUAAUUUAUUUUGUAGAAUAUUAUGCCAACAGUUUUAAAUCGUUAUUGUUUAAACCUGCAUAUGAACCUUACUUGUAUAAUCUUAAAAUCAAGUUUCUUUUUACCUCCUUGAGUAAGUUUUCAAAAAUGUUUUGUCAGUUUUUCCAAACUGUAAAUGAUAUGUCUUGUAAAUUCGGUUGCACAAAUGUUACGUUGACUAUUUGGAUUAAUCAUAAUUCUGUUAAAACUUUUUAAAAUUCCCAUGGAAUUAAAUCCGAAGACCAGUUGAACACAGUAAAGAUACCUUAUCUUCUUGUCCUCUGUUCCUAUCCAUCUUAAAGUGUCUAGAACACAUAGGACUAGUUUUGGCUGAGUAUACCUCAUCCACCUUUUCCAGGCAAUACACCAGAUAAAAUUUGUAAUUAAUCACUGACACAUUUUGUCUGAUUAGUAAUCAGUGAGAAAUUUUGAUUUAGAUAUUCUUUCAAAUUUCAUAUUUUUGUGAGCAAAUUUUAAACAAGAUAUUCCUAUAAAUGAUUUUGAUAAUAAUUUUUGCAGAAGUGAAUCAGGUGAACCUUGCUAAAUAGGUUACCAUCACUUUUUUUCAUUCAACUUCAGCAUAAGACAUCUUUCCAAUACCUCCAAGUAAUUUACCUCAAAUGGCUCUUGGACGUAUGCCUCACCAACAAAGGCGGACAAAUUAAGAGCUGAAAUAUAAAAGAUGGAUGAAACACUAAUCUCCUCAGAAAUAUUACAAGACGCAGCAAUUCAAGGAGCGUUCCUGAAAAUUCGUAUGACAUCUGCGUUCGCUUAGUAUAUUAUUUUUUUUUUACUUCCCCAAUUUUUUGUGGUCAGAAAAACAAAAGAUGACUUCUAGAAACUAAACGCCGCUUCUAAUGCAGUAUUUUAAGCUGUGAUGUUUUAUUGAUUUUGAGUAUUACUAAAACUAUACUUACAAACGAUUACUAUUAAAUCUAUCCUUACCUAUGAAUGUUUUAUGAGUAGUGUUUAAAUUAUUCUUUAUUGUUGCAUAAUUUUAUCAGUUUUCUUCAAAUAAGCAUACCACUGUAGUUUCAUAACUUUUGUAAAUGUGCCCUUUUUCUCUAAUGUAUUAAAAUAGUUUACUUAUAUUUCAGCAUAAUAAAAUUUGGUAUCAUUUGUAUAGUUUAAUUUUCAAGAACUUUUUAUAAGUUUCAAGGAUUUAUAAUAAUCCUUCACUUUUGUUUGACUGAUCAGGUAUAGUAUUUAAUCAAAAUGACAAAAAGCUGCAUCCUGCCAGUAGAAGAAAUAAUUUUCUUUAAAGGAUUUUUCAAUGUCUACAGUAAAAUAUUCAAGAAUUUCUUCAUACAUUUUUCGAAUUUAUUCUGUCGUACUCUAUGAUUCCCAUGACCAACUCUGUGUUCACGACGAUAGUGGCUGAAUGGUAUUGUGCAUUCUAUGUCAAAAGUUUCUUGUUUAAGACACCAGAUGCGUAUAUCUUGUCAUCUAUAGGAGAUAUAUACUUUUAGCUUUAAAAAAUAUUCUUAUCAGCCCUCUUGACCUCAGGACAGACUUUGCCUGAAGCUCACUUUAUUAGACUCUCCAUUGAAGUCUUCAGCAGAAUUUUGCUUCGGUUUUUUUCUCUAUUAUUUUGAAAACAUCGGUUAUUCAAAAAUAUUAUCAUAGUAUUCUAUUUCAUAUAAUAUUCCAUUUUAUUUUAUAAUGGAAUCAUAGUGUUCUUUGAGAGAAUUAUUAAUUAUUUAAGAGCAAAUUAUUAAACCUGAUCUUUUUGUGCAUA
rnacentral:misc_RNA from 1 species